rnacentral:rRNA from 1 species
ACCAGCCCUUGACAUACCGGUCGCGGACACAGACGAUGUGUCUUUCAGUUCGGCUGGACCGGAUACAGGUGCUGCAUGGCUGUCGUCAGCUCGUGUCGUGAGAUGUUGGGUUAAGUCCCGCAACGAGCGCAACCCUCGCCCUUAGUUGCCAGCAUUUAGUUGGGCACUCUAAGGGGACUGCCGGUGAUAAGCCGAGAGGAAGGUGGGGAUGACGUCAAGUCCUCAUGGCCCUUACGGGCUGGGCUACACACGUGCUACAAUGGUGGUGACAGUGGGCAGCGAGCACGCGAGUGUGAGCUAAUCUCCAAAAGCCAAUCUCAGUUCGGAUUGCACUCUGCAACUCGAGUGCAUGAAGUUGGAAUCGCUAGUAAUCGCGGAUCAGCAUGCCGCGGUGAAUACGGUUCCCGGGCCUU